UCGAGAAUCUUCCACAAUGGACGAAAGUCUGAUGGAGCAAUGCCGCGUGCAGGAAGACGGCCUUCGGGUUGUAAACUGCUUUUAUAGGGGACGAAUUGAUGACGGUACCCUAAGAAUAAGUCACUGCUAACUUCGUGCCAGCAGCAGCGGUAAUACGAAGGUGGCAAGCGUUAUCCGGAAUUAUUGGGCGUAAAGCGUUCCUAGGUGGUUAGGCAAGUUUUUCGUCAAACCUUUGGGCUCAACCCAAAUCUCGCGAAAAAAACUACCUUACUAGAGUACGGGAGAGGUCAACGGAAUAGCCGGUGUAGUAGUAAAAUGCGUUUAUAUCGGCUAGAACACCAAAAGCGAAGGCAGUUGACUAGAACGUUACUGACACUCAUAGAACGAAAGCGUGGGGAGCGAAUGGG
rnacentral:rRNA from 1 species